GUCAAUAUUCCUUCAUUUCCCCCUCUUUGAGCAAUAUCUUGCUCAUACCCUAUUUAAGGAGUCCUGGUCAGACAACCAGCCAUCUGCCAUGGUAUAUUCAGGAUUGCUAGCCAAUCCUGCAGGUCUUUCAUUAUGUCUUCGGCCACUAUUCCCAUAGCAUAGGACUAGGCAUCUGACCAGUACCACAAACUUAUAGAUCUGUAUCAGCAUGUUCACCAUUGCUUCGGUUAUGUGUAUACAUUUGGAGAUACUCAUCAUAGCAAGCUGGGGAUUUUACAGGAACAGUGUUGCGUGUAUGUUUGUAAAUGCAGAAUACAAUAAUCUUGAAAAUAGCAUAAACAAGUAGAGCAAGGAUCAGAACCAUAACAAUAAUUAUUGCAAUAUUCUUUAGCCAGUCUAGGAUACUGUCAAACUUAAACAUAUCUGCCCAUGGGUGAUCAAUACCUGAAUUCCUCUUCAUUUCUAUGGACAGGUCUUCUAAUUUCUUUAUAUCUAGGGUUACUUUACCAUUAGGGCCAGUGUUCUCUGCAAUAUAGGUACAACAAACACCGGAGUCAAGUAAUUUACAGACUCCUCCCUUUUCUGCUAAAAUCAUAUCAAGGGCCAUUCUAUUCUGGAAAGACAUUUGUGAGGUAGCCUGUAAUUGUUCAGCAAGACCUUGUAAUGCAUCUCGUGUAUAAUUUACAAAUCUUUGCUGAUUAUAAUAUAUAUAAUUAAUCCAGUUAACAUUCUUGUUAGCUGUUAUAAUGGGAAAUAUUGAUUCAAAUCCUGCUGCCACCUCGUCUCUAGCUUUAAAUUCAUUAGGAACCCCUCUUGGAAUACCAAUGGCAUCUAGAUAGAUAUGUGGGUCGAAACUACCUUGUGGGGAUUCCCUUUUCCUUCUUGUGGAAUCAGUUACAACCUUAAUUUCAGGGAGAGAGUCGCCAAAUAUAUGGAGGAGCAUGAUUAUUUUGGCUGGGGCACAUUCUCCUCUCCAGGGGGUGGGGAGUCUAGAACGUAUUUUCAUAUCUCCACAUAUUCAAUAAACAUCUCCCACAGAUUGUGUUUGAUUCACUAAGGUACAGAAUCCUGAAGAGAAGUUAUCAAAUUGUGUACCCACCUUACCAUUAUUAUUUCCCUGAAAACAAGUAUAAUUACCAGGAUAUACUGGGACAACAUCAUUUAAAUUAAACUUGGGUUCACCAAUAGGGUGACCCUUUUUCCAUUCUUCACAUCCUGUAGUAUUAACAGUGAUACCUGAAAACAAACUUAGGAAACAUUCCCAGUACUCAUCAGGGACAUGUAAGGGUACAGUUCCUAGAUGAGGUCUGGCACUACCACAUACAUAACAGUUUGACCUAUUGUUGGAAUGGGCAUUAUAUCUCAUCCAUUCCAGCCAUAGGUUUGUAUCUGCAUAUCCUGUUUCUAACGCUAUGGUAUCUCCAAACGUGGGAUCUGCUAUGGCCAUCAUAUUACCAAGGGUUUGAAUGUGGGGCUUUAGAGGAUUAACAAGAGUUUGUCUAGAGGUGAGGCUUUCCCAUUUUGAGGAGUUACAUAUAUCUUUUAACUGGAUUUUUCCUCGAUUACCUCCAAUACCUCCUCUUAAAAAGGUACUGAGAAUAUAAAUACCUUGAUCUCCAGGACUGGGGUUUUCAAUAUUUAAGGUAAAUUUAAUGGAGUGCCCAGUUUGCCCUAUAGGGGUACAUGUACCUGGCUUUGUUAGGGUCAUUCUAGUCAAGAGGGACUUCCCAUUCGUAUCCUUUUUAUCUAAUGCAUUCUGUGGCUUAUAACCCCAAUCUGUCCCGGUGUUCCAUCCAACUGAGCCCCAAUAAUCACAAUUGUUACCCCUCUUUGAGCAAUAUAUAUUGCUUAUAUCAUCGGUUAACAUUCUCCCAAGACAGAGAAAUUUCCACAUUAUGACAUUCCCAAGCAAUCAUGUGGGCUACAAGAAACAGAAACUCAGCAGAAAAAAAACAAAACAAAAAACACUUAAUACUUUUGCAGACAGAUAUAUAGAAAAUGGAUGUUUAAGACAGAAUGGAACUUGGGCUUAUAGCAACUAUAUUAUUGCACAACCAGGACCUUGCGUCCUAUAUCUUUUAACCAUUUCCCUAUUCCAAAAGUCCAGUCAAAACCAGUCAUAUCCUCACGCAGUUCCUCAAAACAUGGGAAUCCAUCCCUGGCACACUCAACAUAUAUCAAAAACACACAUAGUACAUCCGUCCCUGGGUCAGCUAACACUUCCUCUCUCUCUGGCUAACUCUACAAAAAUAAAAAUAAAAAUAGUUCAAUAGUUCAGCAUAGUUCAGAAAAAUAGAAUAAGUCUUUCACAGAGUAUAAAGAAAUCAGUUUAGACACCAGACAUUUUG
rnacentral:lncRNA from 1 species